AGCAGAAGCUAGUAGCCACAG
rnacentral:misc_RNA from 1 species